AUUGAACGCUGGCGGCAGGCUUAACACAUGCAAGUCGAACGAGUGGCGGACGGGUGAGUAAUGUCUGGGAAACUGGCCGAUGGAGGGGGAUAACUACUGGAAACCGUAGCUAAUACCGCAUACCAUCGGAUGAGCCCAGUGGGGAUUAGCUAGUUGGUGGGGUAACGGCUCACCGAGGCGACGAGCCCUAGCUGGUCUGAGAGGAUGACCAGCCACACUGGAACUGAGACACGGUCCAGACUCCUACGGGAGGCAGCAGGGGGGAAUAUUGCACAAUGGGCGCAAGCCUGAUGCAGCCAUGCCGCGUGUAUGAAGAAGGCCUUCGGGUUGUAAAGUACUUUCAGCGGGGAGGCGUUACUCGCAGAAGAAGCACCGGCUAACUCCGUGCCAGCAGCCGCGGUAAUAC
rnacentral:rRNA from 1 species